GUCUACAGCCACAUGAACCUGAAUGUGCCCAAUUUUGUCUGAUCUUGAAAGCUAAGCAAGUUAUUGGUACUUGGUUGGGAGACUACCUGGGAAUACCCAGUGCUAUAGACU
rnacentral:rRNA from 1 species